GGUGGUUCUCAGGUGAUGCACCCCAGAAUCAGGCUCCCUCCUCUCUGGUUCCGGGAUGUGUCACCCAAGAACCAUC
rfam:Myotis lucifugus cont2.49213, whole genome shotgun sequence.